GAUGAACUCUAGCUACAGGCUUAACACAUGCAAGUCGAGGGGCAGCAUGGUCUUAUCUUGCUAAGGCCGAUGGCGACCGGCGCACGGGUGAGUAACACGUAUCCAACCUGCCGUCUACUCUUGGACAGCCUCCUGAAAGGAAGAUUAAUACAAGAUGGCAUCAUGAGUCCGCAUGUUCACAUGAUUAAAGGUAUUCCGGUAGACGAUGGGGAUGCGUUCCAUUAGAUAGUAGGCGGGGUAACGGCCCACCUAGUCUUCGAUGGAUAGGGGUUCUGAGAGGAAGGUCCCCCACAUUGGAACUGAGACACGGUCCAAACUCCUACGGGAGGCAGCAGUGAGGAAUAUUGGUCAAUGGGCGAGAGCCUGAACCAGCCAAGUAGCGUGAAGGAUGACUGCCCUAUGGGUUGUAAACUUCUUUUAUAAAGGAAUAAAGUCGGGUAUGGAUACCCGUUUGCAUGUACUUUAUGAAUAAGGAUCGGCUAACUCCGUGCCAGCAGCCGCGGUAAUACGGAGGAUCCGAGCGUUAUCCGGAUUUAUUGGGUUUAAAGGGAGCGUAGAUGGAUGUUUAAGUCAGUUGUGAAAGUUUGCGGCUCAACCGUAAAAUUGCAGUUGAUACUGGAUAUCUUGAGUGCAGUUGAGGCAGGCGGAAUUCGUGGUGUAGCGGUGAAAUGCUUAGAUAUCACGAAGAACUCCGAUUGCGAAGGCAGCCUGCUAAGCUGCAACUGACAUUGAGGCUCGAAAGUGUGGGUAUCGAACAGGAUUAGAUACCCUGGUAGUCCACACGGUAAACGAUGAAUACUCGCUGUUUGCGAUAUACAGCAAGCGGCCAAGCGAAAGCGUUAAGUAUUCCACCUGGGGAGUACGCCGGCAACGGUGAAACUCAAAGGAAUUGACGGGGGCCCGCACAAGCGGAGGAACAUGUGGUUUAAUUCGAUGAUACGCGAGGAACCUUACCCGGGCUUAAAUUGCAGAUGAAUUACGGUGAAAGCCGUAAGCCGCAAGGCAUCUGUGAAGGUGCUGCAUGGUUGUCGUCAGCUCGUGCCGUGAGGUGUCGGCUUAAGUGCCAUAACGAGCGCAACCCUUGUUGUCAGUUACUAACAGGUCAUGCUGAGGACUCUGACAAGACUGCCAUCGUAAGAUGUGAGGAAGGUGGGGAUGACGUCAAAUCAGCACGGCCCUUACGUCCGGGGCUACACACGUGUUACAAUGGGGGGUACAGAGGGCCGCUACCACGCGAGUGGAUGCCAAUCCCAAAAACCUCUCUCAGUUCGGACUGGAGUCUGCAACCCGACUCCACGAAGCUGGAUUCGCUAGUAAUCGCGCAUCAGCCACGGCGCGGUGAAUACGUUCCCGGGCCUUGCACA
rnacentral:rRNA from 1 species